rnacentral:lncRNA from 1 species
GAUCUGUCUGAAGGUCUAGACAACUGUCCAGUAUUCUGUCUCAAGAUUAAAACAACAGGCCAAUAUUCUGUCUGAAGGUUUAAACAAAAGGCCAAUAUUCUGUCUGAAGGUCUAGACAACUGUCCAGUAUUCUGUCUGAAGGUCUAGACAACAGGCCAGUGAUCUGUCUGAACGUCUAGACAACUGUCCAGUAUUCUGUCUGAAGGUCUAGACAACAGGCCAGUGAUCGGUCUGAACGUCAAUGUCAACAAGCCAGUAUUCUAACCGAAGGUCUUGACAGCAGGCCAGUAUUCUAAGUGAAGGUCAAGACAGCAGACCAGUGUUCUGUCUGAAGGUUGAAACAACAGGCCAAUAUUCUGUCUGAAGGUUGAAACAACAGGCCAAUAUUCUGUCUGAAGGUUUAAACAAAAGGCCAAUAUUCUGUCUGAAGGUUUAAACAAAAGGCCAAUAUUCUGUCUGACGGUCUAGACAACUGUCCAGUAUUCUGUCUGAAGGUCUAGACAACAGGCCAGUGAUCUGUCUGAACGUCUAGACAACUGUCCAGUAUUCUGUCUGAAGGUCUAGACAACAGGCCAGUGAUCGGUCUGAACGUCAAUGUCAACAAGCCAGUAUUCUAACCGAAGGUCUUGACAGCAGGCCAGUAUUCUAAGUGAAGGUCAAGACAGCAGACCAGUGUUCUGUCUGAAGGUUGAAACAACAGGCCAAUAUUCUGUCUGAAGGUUGAAACAACAGGCCAAUAUUCUGUCUGAAGGUUUAAACAAAAGGCCAAUAUUCUGUCUGAAGGUCAAGACAACUGUCCAGUAUUCUGUCUAAAGGUUAAAACAACUGGCCCGUGAUCUGUCGGAAGGUCUAGACAACAGGCCAGUGAUCUGUCAGAAGGUCUAGACAACAGGCCAGUGUUAUGUCUGAAGGUCAAGACAAUAGGCCAGUGUUCCGUCUGAAGGUCUAGACAACAGGCCAGUGUUCUGUCUGAAGGUUAAAACAACAGGCCAGUAUUCUAACUGAAGGUCAAGACAACAGGCCAGUGGUCUUUGGUUGGACAGUGAAGCAGCCUGUUCCUCCUUGUGUAGUGUUGUAGAUGGGUUUUUUCUCUCUGAAGCUUCAUGAAGAUGAGAAGAUGCUCACUCAAUGACUGGAAAACAUAGUGUGUGAUUCAAAACCAGAUACAAACUCAAGGAAAUGAAACUCUUGUAUAUUUUGUUGAUUUGUGUAAGGGACUGGAAUGAUGAAAAUGAAUAUAGAGGAUAAUGUGAUUUAUUAAUCCCACUUCCUGUUAAUAAAGGUUAAUGUGAUACUGUG